AGUCUCUGCGUAGUACUAAAUAAAAGAUAUGUUUCGACAAAAAAUAAAAUAUCGAGAAUGUGUCAAAGAAUUAAAAAUAAAAUACUUUUUUUUUUAUUAAGCUUGUUAGCUGCUUCUGAUUUCAUGAUAUCUGUCCUGCCAUACUUCAGUUGCGAGCAUUUCUUUCAACCUAACAUACCUCCGAUUAAUGUGACAAUCAUCUCGGUAAUGUGAUACUUCUAUCUACUUCAAAAAUUAAUCCAGACAUCAAAAAACUAGUUUCAGACGGUCAAGUUUUCACCAAGUUGCACGUAUCCUAAAAAUUCUGGCGACCCCUGAUUUUUGUAUUGGAAUGGUAGGAACAACAACAGGGGAGCUUUCAAUGAAUAACGCUUUUACGCUAAGCAAAAAAAAAGAAUCUUCUUAUCAAAGUAAAGUUGUAACUGAACGUAUGAUCGAAAGAUCAAUAUGUUUUUUCUCUCUACUCCUCUAUGCAAUGUUACUGUUAACUUGCCUCAGAGAUGAGCCUUCAAUCAACCCAGAAAUCCACAUAAAAAAGAAAAUGCGGUCUUGUUUAUUUAGAGCAUCUAUUUUUGGAUUGAUUUUUAUUGGAACUGUAAUAAAGUUUGUAGUGGCAGUCCAUAACAACAGACUUCUUACUUUCAACAAAGUUAGUUUUUGGCAGUUAACAUAUUAUCUAAACUUUCCUUUGUUGUUUUGUAUUUUGCUAUUUUUUUGUCAGCAGAUAUACUCCUUGAUUACUGAACGAAGCAGCAUUUAGUACAGCUCUUUAAGAAAAAAUAUUCUUUGCGUUUUACACGAAGCAUCGUUUAGUACACAUAAUUCCUGAAAAAGUGUUUUUUUAGCUCUUAUUUAAAUACAUCUUAGCAAUCCCAAAGCAAGUGUUGGUGAUAAUACGUACUGGUAACAAUUAUGAGUUAUGUGAGAUUCUAUUUGAUAUGCUGCGAUGUUUUAUGGUCAAAGAUUUGUUUGUUUAAUAACAGGUUUACUUACUGUUAAUAUAUAUUUAUUUAAAUUUACUCCUCAGACCUCGUCAAACAUACUUUUGACACUUUAAGCACCUACAGAUUUAUUAAAGAUGUCUCUUGUGACGUCAUCUUUUAGUACAAAGUUACUAUUAAUAUAAAAUAAUAUUUAUAAUAAUUCGAAUAUCUUGUUACAUUUAUUUUAUGUUGUUGAUUUUUUAAUGCUUGAGAAUAAAUAUCUUACACAUCUU